rnacentral:rRNA from 1 species
CCUACGGGAGGCAGCAGUGGGGAAUUUUGGACAAUGGGCGCAAGUCUGAUCCAGCAAUGCCGCGUGAGUGAAGAAGGCCUUCGGGUUGUAAAGCUCUUUUGUCAGGGAAGAAACGGUGGGAGCUAAUAUCUCUUACUAAUGACGGUACCUGAAGAAUAAGCACCGGCUAACUACGUGCCAGCAGCCGCGGUAAUACGUAGGGUGCAAGCGUUAAUCGGAAUUACUGGGCGUAAAGCGUGCGCAGGCGGUUUUGUAAGUCUGUCGUGAAAGCCCCGGGCUCAACCUGGGAAUUGCGAUGGAGACUGCAAGGCUUGAAUCUGGCAGAGGGGGGUAGAAUUCCACGUGUAGCAGUGAAAUGCGUAGAGAUGUGGAGGAACACCGAUGGCGAAGGCAGCCCCCUGGGUCAAGAUUGACGCUCAUGCACGAAAGCGUGGGGAGCAAACAGGAUUAGAUACCCUGGUAGUCCACGCCCUAAACGAUGUCUACUAGUUGUCGGGUUUUAAUUAACUUGGUAACGCAGCUAACGCGUGAAGUAGACCGCCUGGGGAGUACGGUCGCAAGNUUAAAACCNCAAAGAGUAGUACGACGNGAGAGAGCGACGACGACGACGACGGAGGAGGAGG